AAGCAUUCGGAAUUCACAAAAUUUUAAACAACCCACUUAACAAAUGAGUAGUAAUGGUAGAAAAUUAUUAAUUGGAUUUAGGUUUUGGGGUUAAAAUGGGUAUGUACGGACAGAGGAGGUCCUCCAGAUCAAGAAUGUAUACAUUCCUACCUAAAACAUAUACACCGUAUAUUUUACAAAUCAAACCAAAAUAAAGAGAUGGACGACCAAUUAAAGAAUUUAAAAUGUGAAAGAAUAACUCGGGAGUAGCUGCAGGAUUCCAGCACACUAUUUCAACAAUAACAUCUUUUUAUUCACUCAUGUAGUAACAUUAUUUGCAAAUAAAGUGUUGACCGAAUUAUUUAAACAUAAAUUUGUAAA